GCGGGAGUGGUGUAACGGCAGCCACGCCAGCCUUAGGAGCUGGUGCCUUCGGGCGUGCGGGUUCGACUCCCGCCUCCCGCACCC
rnacentral:tRNA from 1 species